rnacentral:rRNA from 1 species
AGUGAACGCUGGCGGUAGGCCUAACACAUGCAAGUCGAACGGCAGCACAGUAAGAUCUUGCUCUUACGGGUGGCGAGUGGCGGACGGGUGAGGAAUACAUCGGAAUCUACUUUUUCGUGGGGGAUAACGUAGGGAAACUUACGCUAAUACCGCAUACGACCUACGGGUGAAAGCAGGGGAUCUUCUGACCUUGCGCGAUUGAAUGAGCCGAUGUCGGAUUAGCUAGUUGGCGGGGUAAAGGCCCACCAAGGCGACGAUCCGUAGCUGGUCUGAGAGGAUGGUCAGCGACACUGGAAGUGAGACACGGUCCAGACUCCUACGGGAGGCAGCAGGGGGGAAUAUUGGGCAAUGGGCGCAAGCCUGAUACAGCCAUACCGCGUGGGUGAAGAAGGCCUUCGGGUUGUAAAGCCCUUUUGUUGGGAGAGAAAAGCAGCAGGUUAAUACGCCGCUGUUCUGACGGUACCCAAAGAAUAAGCACCGGCUAACUUCGUG